rnacentral:rRNA from 1 species
AUGGAGAGGAUCGAGAGGGAUCUGAACCCCUCAAGGUCACUCGUUGCCGAAAAAGCGGCUCUUGUUGUCCUGCGACUGGAAGACCAUCUGGACAAUGCCUUGGGUUACAUCACUCGGGUGAGGGGCGUUGUAAGCCGGAUUGAGAAGGAGCUUCAGCCUGGCGAGAAGACCCAGACUGAUUUGGAGUCAAUCAUGACACGGCUGAAUGAGAUUCCUGCUCGAGUGCAAGCUUGGAAGAAGUCGGCUGCCCGGAGCAGUGCUGAUGUGGCCCUGUCGCUUGUCCGAGUCCACUGCAAGGACGUCAACGAGGAGAAGAUAAAGAACCUCCGUGUGGUCAACACCAAGAAGCUAAAAUUUGAAGACUUCAUGGAGACGUUCGUUGAAGUCGCCCCGCGCAUCGUCGACGGAAUCGAUCUGGAGACCUUCGUCGAGCCAGCCAGCCGCCAGGAGGAUGCCUGA